rnacentral:rRNA from 1 species
AGCUCCAAUAGCGUAUAUUAAAGUUGUUGCAGUUAAAAAGCUCGUAGUCUGACCCUUGGUCGGGACGUUGAGUAUCCGUGGCCAAUUUGGUACUGUGGCGCCUGUCUGGCUUCGGUCGGAUUGGGUGUUAUGGUCCUUGGUCGUGUGUAUGCGAUAUGCGUCUGGCCCACUUUUGUACUUCGGAGGAACAUGUUGUGCUUUUCACUAAGUGCGCUUGGGAUUCCGAUAGUUUACUUUGAGAAAAAUAGAGUGUUCAAAGCAGGCGAUUUUUGCCAUUGAAUACAUUAGCAUGGGAUAAUAAAAUAGGACAUUGGUUCUAUUUGAUGGU